UGAGAUUUUCAUUUCAUAAUCAAGUUAAAGGGCCCUUUUUAUCAAAAGCCCUCUUUAACUUUAAAGUGCAGAUUUCGGACCUUUAAGUUGCUAAAGUCUCCUUUAAAGGUUCAAGAAAUUUAUUGUAUUCAGAAGACCAAAAAUUAACCAGAACAGAUUAAGAACAAACUGUUUUGAACAAUAAUAAUAUGAUGAUCUGGAUUUUUAUCAAAGAUUUAGCUUGAAAACAAACAGUUUUGUGUGCCUUCUUAAAU
rnacentral:lncRNA from 1 species